UGGGGAAUGGUGUAACGGCAGCACCUGCGACUCUGACUCGCAUAGUCUUGGUUCAAAUCCAGGUUCCCCAGCCA
rnacentral:tRNA from 1 species